rnacentral:tRNA from 1 species
UCCCUGGUGGUCCAGUGGUUAAGACUCCAUGCUUCUAAUGCAUAGGAUGUGGGUUCGAUCCCAGUCAGGGGA